rnacentral:rRNA from 1 species
UACGGAGGGGGGCUAGCGUUGUUCGGAAUUACUGGGCGUAAAGCGUACGUAGGCGGCUUUGUAAGUUAGAGGUGAAAGCCCGGGGCUCAACUCCGGAAUUGCCUUUAAGACUGCAUCGCUUGAAUCAUGGAGAGGUGAGUGGAAUUCCGAGUGUAGAGGUGAAAUUCGUAGAUAUUCGGAAGAACACCAGUGGCGAAGGCGACUCACUGGACAUGUAUUGACGCUGAGGUACGAAAAGCGUGGGGGAGCAAAACAGGG